GAGUUUGAUCAUGGCUCAGAUUGAACGCUGGCGGCAUGCCUUACACAUGCAAGUCGAACGGCAGCACGGGAGCUUGCUCCUGGUGGCGAGUGGCGAACGGGUGAGUAAUGCAUCGGAACGUAUCCUGGAGUGGGGGAUAACGUAGCGAAAGUUACGCUAAUACCGCAUAUUCUGUGAGCAGGAAAGCGGGGGACCUUCGGGCCUCGCGCUCUUGGAGCGGCCGAUGUCGGAUUAGCUAGUUGGUGAGGUAAAGGCUCACCAAGGCGACGAUCCGUAGCAGGUCUGAGAGGAUGAUCUGCCACACUGGAACUGAGACACGGUCCAGACUCCUACGGGAGGCAGCAGUGGGGAAUUUUGGACAAUGGGGGCAACCCUGAUCCAGCCAUGCCGCGUGAGUGAAGAAGGCC
rnacentral:rRNA from 82 species